rnacentral:lncRNA from 1 species
AGCAUGUGACAUUUGAAUUAUGUUUUACAGGAUGCCAAGGAUUUUAAGAGGUGAACAUGAGAUAAAAUAUAUUUGUUGAAAAUUCUCACCUCUCAGUGGAGUUCUUGCUGCUACUUCAGGAAGGCUCUUGGGAUUCAAGGAAAGGGAAAAAUAAUCUUACUCUCAAUGGACUCACAGACUAAUGGAAGAGACACCAUGAAGGAAGGCAAGAUCAUAAUCCUAGAACUACAAGAAGUAACCUUGGUCAUCAAGCACAAUCUUCUAUUUGAAAGGUCAAAAAGCUAAAAAUAAAGGAUGAGAUUCUACAGAAGGAAGUGCAUACCCCUACAUUUAGAAGUAUUCCCACAAAAGUUGGAUGAGUCCUUGUUAGACAAAUAAGAUGAUCCUUCAACAUAUGAAUCAGGUGUGAUAUGUACUUUUCAGGUGUGAUAGAUGCUUUUAA